rnacentral:rRNA from 1 species
CAGUCGAACGGUAACAUAAAGAAGCUUGCUUCUUUGAUGACGAGUGGCGUACGGGUGAGUAAUGCUUGGGAAUCUAGCUUAUGGAGGGGGAUAACUACGGGAAACUGUAGCUAAUACCGCGUAGAAUCGAGAGAUGAAAGUGUGGGACCUUCGGGCCACAUGCCAUAGGAUGAGCCCAAGUGGGAUUAGGUAGUUGGUGAGGUAAAGGCUCACCAAGCCGACGAUCUCUAGCUGGUCUGAGAGGAUGACCAGCCACACUGGGACUGAGACACGGCCCAGACUCCUACGGGAGGCAGCAGUGGGGAAUAUUGCGCAAUGGGGGCAACCCUGACGCAGCCAUGCCGCGUGAAUGAAGAAGGCCUUCGGGUUGUAAAGUUCUUUCGGUAGCGAGGAAGGCAUUUAGUUUAAUAGACUAGGUGAUUGACGUUAACUACAGAAGAAGCACCGGCUAACUCCGUGCCAGCAGCCGCGGUAAUACGGAGGGAGCGAGCGUUAAUCGGAAUAACUGGGCGUAAAGGGCACGCAGGCGGUGACUUAAGUGAGGUGUGAAAGCCCCGGGCUUAACCUGGGAAUUGCAUUUCAUACUGGGUCGCUAGAGUACUUUAGGGAGGGGUAGAAUUCCACGUGUAGCGGUGAAAUGCGUAGAGAUGUGGAGGAAUACCGAAGGCGAAGGCAGCCCCUUGGGAAUGUACUGACGCUCAUGUGCGAA